rnacentral:rRNA from 1 species
CUUUUUGACUUAAAUAUAAAGUAUAACCUGCCCAUUGAUAUUUUUAAAAGGCUGCGGUAUAUUGACCGUACAAAGGUAGCAUAAUCAUUAGUUUUUUAAUUGAGAACUUGUAUGAAUGGUUGAAUGAGAAAUGAACUUUUUUAAUAAAAAAAUUGAAUUUUACAUUUUAAUUAAAAGGUUGAAAUGUAUUUAAAAGACGAGAAGACCCUAUAGAGUUUUAUAAUUUAUAUUUAAUAUUAAAAAAAAUUAAUAGAUAUUUUUAUUUAAAUAAUUAUUUUGUUGGGGUGAUGAUAAAAUUUAACUAACUUUUAUUUUUUUUUACAUUAAUAUAUGGGAAAUUGAUCCACUAUUAGUGAUUAAAAGAUUAAAUUACCUUAGGGAUAACAGCGUAAUUUUUUUUUUAAGUUCAUAUUAAUAAAAAAUUUUGCGACCUCGAUGUUGGAUUAAGAUUUAAUUUUAGGUGCAGAAGUUUAAAAUUUAAGUCUGUUCCACUUUUAAAUUCUU